AUUGAACGCUGGCGGCAGGCUUAACACAUGCAAGUCGAACGAGUGGCGGACGGGUGAGUAAUGCUUGGGAAUCUAGCUUAUGGAGGGGGAUAACUACGGGAAACUGUAGCUAAUACCGCGUACCAUAGGAUGAGCCCAAGUGGGAUUAGGUAGUUGGUGAGGUAAAGGCUCACCAAGCCGACGAUCUCUAGCUGUUCUGAGAGGAUGACCAGCCAAACGGGGACUGGGACCAGGCCCAGACUCCUACGUGAGGCAGCAGUGGGAAAUAUUGCGCAAUGGGGGCAACCUGACGCAGCCAGGCCGCGUGAAUGAAGAAGGCCGUCGGGUUGUAAAGUUCUUUCGGUAGCGAGGCGUUAACUACAGAAGAAGCACCGGCUAACUCCGUGCCAGCAGCCGCGGUAAUAC
rnacentral:rRNA from 1 species